rnacentral:rRNA from 1 species
UACGUAGGGUGCGAGCGUUAAUCGGAAUUACUGGGCGUAAAGCGUGCGCAGGCGGUUCGUUGUGUCGGCGGUGAAAGCCCCGGGCUCAACCUGGGAAUGGCCGUUGAAACUGGCGAACUGGAGUGUGGCAGAGGGGGGUGGAAUUCCGCGUGUAGCAGUGAAAUGCGUAGAGAUGCGGAGGAACACCGAUGGCGAAGGCAGCCCCCCUGGGCUGACACUGACGCCUCAGGCACGAAAGCGUGGGGAGCAAACAGG